AUUGAACGCUGGCGGAAUGCUUUACACAUGCAAGUCGAACGAUGAACCUUAGCUUGCUAAGGGGAUUAGUGGCGAACGGGUGAGUAAUAUAUCGGAACGUGCCUUGUAAUGGGGGAUAUCUAGUCGAAAGAUUAGCUAAUACCGCAUACGCCCUGAGGGGGAAAGUAGGGGAUCUUCGGACCUUACGUUAUAAGAGCGGCCGAUAUCUGAUUAGCUAGUUGGUGGGGUAAUGGCCUACCAAGGCGACGAUCAGUAGCUGGUCUGAGAGGACGACCAGCCACACUGGAACUGAGACACGGUCCAGACUCCUACGGGAGGCAGCAGUGGGGAAUGUUGGACAAUGGGCGCAAGCCUGAUCCAGCCAUUCCGCGUGAGUGAAGAAGGCCUUCGGGUUGUAAAGCUCUUUCGCAAGGGAAGAAAACUUACCAUCGAAUAAAUGGUGAGGCUGACGGUACCUUGAGAAGAAGCACCGGCUAACUACGUG
rnacentral:rRNA from 1 species